AAACCUUAUGACCCCUUCGGGGUGAUUCUGGCGGAAUGAGCGGCGGACGGGUGAGUAACACGUGGGCAACCUGCCUGUAAGACUGGGAUAACUUCGGGAAACCGGAGCUAAUACCGGAUAGUAUUUCCUUUCUCCUGAUUGGAAAUGGAAAGACGGUUUCGGCUGUCACUUACAGAUGGGCCCGCGGUGCAUUAGCUAGUUGGUGGGGUAAUGGCCCACCAAGGCGACGAUGCAUAGCCGACCUGAGAGGGUGAUCGGCCACACUGGGACUGAGACACGGCCCAGACUCCUACGGGAGGCAGCAGUAGGGAAUCUUCCGCAAUGGACGAAAGUCUGACGGAGCAACGCCGCGUGAGCGAUGAAGGCCUUCGGGUCGUAAAGCUCUGUUGUUAGGGAAGAACAAGUACGAGAGUAACUGCUCGUACCUUGACGGUACCUAACCAGAAAGCCCCGGCUAACUACGUGCCAGCAGCCGCGGUAAUACGUAGGGGGCAAGCGUUGUCCGGAAUUAUUGGGCGUAAAGGGCUCGUAGGCGGUUUCUUAAGUCUGAUGUGAAAGCCCACAGCUCAACUGUGGAGGGUCAUUGGAAACUGGGGAACUUGAGUGCAGAAGAGGAGAGUGGAAUUCCACGUGUAGCGGUGAAAUGCGUAGAUAUGUGGAGGAACACCAGUGGCGAAGGCGACUCUCUGGUCUGUAACUGACGCUGAGGAGCGAAAGCGUGGGGAGCAAACAGGAUUAGAUACCCUGGUAGUCCACGCCGUAAACGAUGAGUGCUAGGUGUUAGGGGGUUUCCGCCCCUUAGUGCUGAAGUUAACGCAUUAAGCACUCCGCCUGGGGAGUACGGCCGCAAGGCUGAAACUCAAAAGAAUUGACGGGGGCCCGCACAACCGGUGGAGCAUGUGGUUUAAUUCGAAGCACC
rnacentral:rRNA from 1 species